CGUGCCCACUUAUGUCCAGUGCUCCUUGUGGCCGUGGGGUUGGAGGGGGGCAAGAACGAAGGGGGAUGCUGGACUGGGGUGGGGGAAACUGAGGCCCAGGAGGCACUAGGGCUGGGAUUCCGUAGUGAGCUAGAACCUGACCUUCCUCUCCUGCCCAGCCGUUCGUUUCCGGCUCUUGAAAUAGAUCCUCGGCCCGCCUGGUAGCCAGCCGGCCAAGGGCAGGGCCCCGCUGCCGGCCUGCUCCAGCCUGGCCCAGUCACCCCGAAAAGUUGACGAAAGCCAGCUGCCUUCGCAGCGGUCGCUCGGCAGGCAGACACCCGGAGGCGUGACGCCUGCCCUCGUCUGGCACCCGAGGUUGCCAGGAGGGCCCUUGGAAAUCUCCUCUCCACUCCCACUCCCAGGGGCUUUGCAGCUCCUUUCCGGAGUGGCUUCCUGAUGAGGUGCCCUCAGCCCCCACAUUCAGACGGGCCUCUGAAUGCACAGAUGCUCGGGAAGUGUGCGGUGGCUCCCUGGGGUCAAGACCCGGAUCGGAUGCUCUGAUGUGGAAGGAGGGCGUGCACACAGGGGACCCAGGGGAAUCGGUCUUGCUGCCUGUCACCUCGGCCUUCAAGUCAAUAGAGGGAAGCAGGCCCAAGAAGGCUGUGCUGCAGACACACCCAGGGCGGGGCCAGACGCCAGGCCCUUCAGCCGCUGGACCCUGCGCAGCACCUGCCUAUCUGGCUGUGUGUCGCUGGGCAGCUCACGCAACCUCUCUGUGCCCUAGAGAGGUGAUGACAGUGCUCGCGGGAUCUGGGGAGGAGAAAGACGUGGCCCAGCUCUGGGCGUUCUUGCGGCCGGGGGUAGCCCGGGGCAGGAGAGAGGGACUCAUUCCUGGGAACCUGGGGCCUGUCAGGAGGCUGGGGAGACCAAGCGGCCCCGAAGAGGAGAGUGGGGUCUCGGAAGGAUUGGGUGGGGGUGUAGGAGGCUAGGGGCACAGGGAGACGUCACUCCUGGGCCGACAGCCUCUAGGAGUCUGACCUUGCACCGAGAGUGGCCCUAGGGACAGUGGCCGGUCAGGCCAUCCAUUUGUCCCCUCCACAGAAGGCCACGACGCCCCCACGGGCCUAGUCGAGGGGAGCUUUGCCCCUUUGGGGCCUGGUGCAGAUGGGAGGCAUCCGGCUCUCAUCACCCCCAUGUCCCCGGGUCUCCCUUCUCGGGUCCAGGCCGGGGGUACCGAGGUGGGAGGGAAGCCGCCAUGACGCCCGGCGGCCCGGCACAGCUGGCUGCAAUUAGGAAAGCGGAGAAGUUGUUAUUUGGGGGUUAAAUCGAAAUGAAUCUCCUUAAGGGGAGGGCCAGGCCCCCUCCAGAAAGCAUUUUCAUGACGUAGCCCCUGGCCUGGAAGUGGGGUCCCUGGACUCUAGGGAUGUGAGGGAAGAGGACAGGCUGGGUGACGUCACCACCGGGCCUGGCCUCGCCCGGAUGGGAGGCCUGGGUGCCUCCUGCCCCACCGUCCCAAUCCCAGCUCUGUCCACCUCCCACCAAGUCCCUGCCUGGCUCGGGCUGCACCCCAACUCUGGCCCUCAUAUGGCCCCAACAGCCUGUCCCUCCAUCUGUCCGUCCCUUUUUCCUGCCGCCCGUGCCAGGGCCUGCCGUGGGACCCGGAGCUGGGACGCGGAGGGGUGGGUGGCUUCCCCGUCCAUGGGACACCGCCCUGCUCUUGGCCUCGAGUGGCCUCCAGCAUGGGGGACGGCCAGGCUGCAAACAUGCCCGUGGCUGUUUAUUCAGCUGUCGGAGUUGGCGCCCGCUCCCCUACCCAGGCCUGGUCUUUCUGGAGUUAAAACGCUCAGCCCUGUCCCCACCCCGGGCAGUGACCUCACAGCAGGAUUUCUCUGGAGGAGGCCUCCAGGGCCAGCCACCGAGCGGAGGGCUGUGGGCCGGCUGUGGGCUGUGGACAGUGGGAGCCCGGGGUGGGGGGCACCCUCUCAGAGUGGACGUCUCCUCUCCCACUACAGUUCCCGUACCGGACAAGGUCCCCGUGCCGAGGAAGCAGACCGCACUCUCGGUCUGGGUCACUGGGGAGCAUGUGACAAAGGGACAUGUCUAGGCAGACCUGAGGAAAGGGGCAGGGAGGGAGUUUGCAGGGGAGGUAGCCAAAGGGUGUGUGUGUGUCGGGGGGAGGGGAGCAAGGGUCCCAAGCCUCGGGCCUCUUGCCAGCCCCUUCCACCAGCUGAAUCCACUGUCAGUGCAUGGGGAGUCUGCAUGCGUCCGUCUAGGCCAGCCUGCAGGGCCGGCUAGAGCGGGAGGACAGUGGGUCUGACAACAUAAAGGGCCCGUGGUCCGACAAGGCCCUGAGAAGCAAAACCGCCGUUCCAAGUGUCCCUCGGCAUUCGAGAGAUUGUCCUUCCCGUUGUGGAACCCAGAGAGUAGGGCCUAGAGCCAGCGAUCAGCGGGAGCUCGAUGGCGUUUCUUCUAGAACUUUGCCAGGCCCUGUCAGGGGGCAGCAUCUUGCUCCCCUACCUCCCAGGCUAGGGGGUGGUCUAAGGCUGGAGCAGCCCCACCCUUCUGCUGGCUCCCUUCGGCGCUCCCUCUGGGGACCACCCGGUUUGGAGCAGCUGCCUGGAGGGGUCUCAGCCCACAGCAGGGAGCGGUCGGCCGACCCUCCUGCCCCCCUGCGAGGCCCCAGACUCGGUGGAGCAGAGACGAGAUGUUUCCUGCUGUGCCCUGCCAAAUUCUGGACCCAGAGAGUCCGUGAGCCUAAGAAUAUGGCCACGGUGAGGCUCCGGCUUUGGGGGCCAUUGUCAGCAGCCAACAGAGCAAAUGGGGCAAGCUGAAGACACAGGUUGGCCCCCGGCAUCCGUGAGCAGUCUCUCCGGUCUCUCUCCGAAUGACAUCUUCUGACCUUCGUGGGCUCUGUGACUGCAAGCCUGCGAGGGUCUUCCAUCCCCUCCCUUGUACAGUUGAAGGAGUGACAGACACAGGUCCAGGCCAUUGUGAGGACGAAGCCAGGUGCGGAGGUGGGCACGUGCUGAGGGCCUGGCCGAUGUGGGGGUCAGUAUGUCCCAGCAGCCUGAUUCGGAGUUUCCCCCAAAGCACAGCCCAAGUCUCGUCGGAGCUGCUGGUCAGAAGGUAUACAGAAUGG